AUUGAACGCUGGCGGCAUGCCUUACACAUGCAAGUCGAACGGCAGCGCGGACUUCGGUCUGGCGGCGAGUGGCGAACGGGUGAGUAAUACAUCGGAACGUACCCUGUUGUGGGGGAUAACUAGUCGAAAGAUUAGCUAAUAACGCAUACGACCUGAGGGUGAAAGUGGGGGACCGCAAGGCCUCAAGCAGAAGGAGCGGCCGAUGUCUGAUUAGCUAGUUGGUGGGGUAAAGGCCCACCAAGGCGACGAUCAGUAGCUGGUCUGAGAGGACGAUCAGCCACACUGGGACUGAGACACGGCCCAGACUCCUACGGGAGGCAGCAGUGGGGAAUUUUGGACAAUGGGGGCAACCCUGAUCCAGCAAUGCCGCGUGUGUGAAGAAGGCCUUCGGGUUGUAAAGCACUUUUGUCCGGAAAGAAAUCGCGCUGGUUAAUACCUGGCGUGGAUGACGGUACCGGAAGAAUAAGCACCGGCUAACUACGUGCCAGCAGCCGCCGUAAAAC
rnacentral:rRNA from 1 species